UCAAACUUGGUCAUUUAGAGGAAGUAAAAGUCGUAACAAGGUCUCCGUUGGUGAACCAGCGGAGGGAUCAUUAAAGAGUUUUUUCAAAACUCCCUAAACCCAUGUGAACUUACCAUAUGUUGCCUCGGCAGGUCGCGUUCACCUCGUAGCACCCUACCUUGUAGGGGCUUACCCGGUGAUCGCGGGUAAGCCUGCCGACGGCUCAAGGCAAACUCUGUUUUUCGUAUUAAACUUCUGAAUUUGAUAACAAGAAUAAGUUAAAACUUUCAACAACGGAUCUCUUGGUUCUGGCAUCGAUGAAGAACGCAGC
rnacentral:misc_RNA from 1 species